rnacentral:rRNA from 1 species
GUGCCAGCGCCGCGGUAGUACCGGCCGCCCGAGUGCUGACCGCUCUUAUUGGGCCUAAAGCGUCCGUAGCUGGCUACGCAAGUCCGUCGGGAAAUCCACUCGCCCAACGGGUGGGCGUCCGACGGAAACUGCAUAGCUUGGGACCGGAAGGCUCGAAGGGUACGUGCGGGGUAGGAGUGAAAUCCCAUAAUCCCGCACGGACCACCGAUGGCGAAAGCACUUCGAGAAAACGGAUCCGACAGUGAGGGACGAAAGCCAGGGUCUCCAACCGGAUUAGAAACCCUAGUAGUCC